AUUGAACGCUGGCGGCAUGCUUUACACAUGCCAGUCGAACGGUAACAGGCCGCAAGGUGCUGACGAGUGGCGGACGGGUGAGUAAUGCAUCGGAACGUGCCCAGUCGUGGGGGAUAACUACUCGAAAGAGUAGCUAAUACCGCAUACGAUCUAUGGUUGAAAGCGGGGGACCGUAAGGCCUCGCGCGAGUGGAGCGGCCGAUGUCAGAUUAGUUAGUUGGUGGGGUAAAGGCUCACCAAGCCAACGAUCUGUAGCUGGUCUGAGAGGACGACCAGCCACACUGGGACUGAGACACGGCCCAGACUCCUACGGGAGGCAGCAGUGGGGAAUUUUGGACAAUGGGCGCAAGCCUGAUCCAGCAAUGCCGCGUGCAGGAAGAAGGCCUUCGGGUUGUAAACUGCUUUUGUACGGAACGAAACGGCUCUGGUUAAUACCCGGGGCUAAUGACGGUACCGUAAGAAUAAGCACCGGCUAACUACGUG
rnacentral:rRNA from 1 species